AGUCUUUUUUGUAUUUCCCUUAACCCACAAGGCCUAGCCGGCCAUCUUACAAUUAUGACCUCGAAUGCACAGAAAGACGCGUGAAAAAAGACAAUUGAAAAAAUCGAUAAGAAGAACGGUACGCCUAAAGGGAGGGGUGUUGUAUCAACCACUACACUACUGUGUUUGCUUGCAACUACGACACCAGAAGAAAAAUAGAAGUUUCAGCUUCGCCUUGACCGAACUAUUACUUAGUGCAUAUGUCACUGGAUUAACGACUCCAUUCAAAUAAACCAUCCACAUGACCGCGUGGAACACACCCUCAGACGCGUCCACGCGCGUGGAACACGAGUGUACGACCAAAUAAGGCAGCCAGUGAAACAGAAACAACAGCAACAGGAUCAGACCCGUACGUGCGACUUUGUACUCUCGUGGGAGUUGGCUCUGCGCUCGUCUCUCUGUUCGCACCGUGGCUUGGACGGUACUCAGAAGACCGCUAAGUCUGUGGCGUGCGCUACGUGGACUUGGGUUUCUAAUCAUAGAUAGAGAGGCUUGACCCUCAAAACUCAAGUUUACGCUGGACGAUGACGCUCGAAUAAGAGAGAGUGGAGGGGCUAAUGACUUGCUUUGAUCGCCUUCAGGAUUUGAUUCUGGCAUUGUGACAAUCCCCGCAAUAGUAUUUGUUGGCGUAAGAAUUGUGUUUUUUUCUUGCUCGUUUAGUCGUGUAACUCGUUUGGAGAAGGUUUGGUUUGUUGCACCGAAUAUCGAUGUUGUUUCUGUCUGUGUUUCUCCAGCUUCAUUACUCGUUGUAUAACUCGAGCUGCUGUUUUCAAAAGACACGUUUCCGCCCGGUAGUGCACCACUUUCAAAAGCAGCGUCCGUUCGAUCCCCUGAAAGUCUAUCCAGUGUAAGCAUGCCUCCAUUAAGUGUCAGGUUUACACUCGCCCCUCCCUCCUGCGCCGGAAACUUCGCUCUCAUCUGAAGCAUAUUUAUUUUUCUCGAGUGUUUCCGAAUUUCUAAGAAGAUCCUGGUGUAGGUGACGGCCAUCACGGUCAGCGGUAUAACGAACCCUGUGGUGGACAAAAAAAUAUACAGAGAACACCCAUCGGUCCAUGCAGGUGAGCAGUGUAGAGUUCCCGGAUGAUACUCGUACCUAGACCACCCAAGAACAGGGAGAGAGCCAUAGAGAAAAGCCUGGAUCCAAGUGAUGAGUAUCAUGAGCAGAGCUCGUCUAGGAGUAAGUAUUGUUCGGUAUCUCACAGGCUUACACACGGCAAUGUAUCUGUCGAUGCUGAUACAGCACAGAGUUAGCACGAUGGCACCACACGAAGCGACGCUGAAUAACCCAUUGGUCUGAAACAAGCAAAUAAAAGAGAUUGUUGAAGGUGCAAUAUAAUCCCAACGUAACUAAUUUAUAGAAACUGAUAAUCAAAAGGCAAUUGAUAAAUUUGAUGAUGAUUGAUAUCAAUUUACUAAAUGGUUUUCAAUUAUUAUCAGUAAUUGGUAACAAUUAAUUAUCACUCAAUUGUUUCCCGUUAUCAGUUAUUAUCGAUUGCUUCGGCAUAAUCCAGCUAUAUAUUAAUUAUCGAUUUAUAUCAAUAAAAUUGACAUGAUUAUUGAUUUUUUUCAAUUAGAUAACUUAUCAUUUUCUUCCAAUGAAAUUUCGAUUAUCAAUUUUUGUCAACUGUUAUUUCAAUAGCUAUCAAUUUGUAUCAAUCACAAUAUCAGUUGAUAAUCAUUUAGUAAAUUGAUAUCCAUUAAUUAGAAGGGAUUCUUGUCAAAUGCGCUUAUGAAUAUCAAUAGAAUGCAUGAUAAUAUACGCUUGUAUCGGCGAAUUUUGAGCCCCUAGUAACCAGGGUACCAGGAAAUACCAUUAUUUCAACACAACACGCCAUACCGCUCGUACAAUUUUUCGACGUUGGAGAAAUGUGUUCAGGAUGUAAGAAAAAAAAAUGUAUUUCACUUGUGUUGUCAAACUACAGAUCUACAUUGGACUAAAUAAUAAUUACCGUGCAAGCGGGACCCAGGAAGGUGCCAUGCCUAUCCGAAAUGAGAGAAAUGAGACUAAACGGAAUCACUCCAACAGUAAGUACCAUGUUUGCCACGCAAAGAUUCGCUACCAGCAAGUUGGUCGGCUUUCGUCGAAGAGCCGAAUCACGAGAGAUGAUUACACAGGUCGCUGAAUUUAAAAUAACGGACCCGACAAGUAUGAUAGCUAGUCCGACACUCUCUAAGAUCAUCAACCAGUGCGAAAACCCAACUGCUGUUUGGUGACCAUUACUGGAAUUGCCGGUCUUGUAUGACAUUCUCAGAGGGCAGCAGUUACAGCGUAAACUUCACUGAUAAUAAUCUCGGGCUGACGAUGCGUUUGAAGACUAAUAGGGUAAUAAGUAGAAUAGAAAUAAAGGCUUAAUCUUCCUGUUUUGUGAAUGUGAAUAGAUCUUCUGAGUCUCCUCU